rnacentral:rRNA from 1 species
GAUGAACGCUGGCGGCGUGCCUAAUACAUGCAAGUCGAGCGAACGGACGAGAAGCUUGCUUCUCUGAUGUUAGCGGCGGACGGGUGAGUAACACGUGGAUAACCUACCUAUAAGACUGGGAUAACUUCGGGAAACCGGAGCUAAUACCGGAUAAUAUUUUGAACCGCAUGGUUCAAAAGUGAAAGACGGUCUUGCUGUCACUUAUAGAUGGAUCCGCGCUGCAUUAGCUAGUUGGUAAGGUAACGGCUUACCAAGGCAACGAUGCAUAGCCGACCUGAGAGGGGGAUCGGCCACACUGGAACUGAGACACGGUCCAGACUCCUACGGGAGGCAGCAGUAGGGAAUCUUCCGCAAUGGGCGAAAGCCUGACGGAGCAACGCCGCGUGAGUGAUGAAGGUCUUCGGAUCGUAAAACUCUGUUAUUAGGGAAGAACAUAUGUGUAAGUAACUGUGCACAUCUUGACGGUACCUAAUCAGAAAGCCACGGCUAACUACGU